GAAACCUACGGGGCGCAGCAGUGGGGAAUAUUGGGCAAUGGGCGCAAGCCUGACCCAGCAACGCCGCGUGAAGGAAGAAGGCUUUCGGGUUGUAAACUUCUUUUGUCAGGGACGAAGCAAGUGACGGUACCUGACGAAUAAGCCACGGCUAACUACGUGCCAGCAGCCGCGGUAAUACGUAGGUGGCAAGCGUUAUCCGGAUUUAUUGGGUGUAAAUGGCGUGUAGGCGGGAAUGCCACUCAGGUGUGAAAACUAUGGGCUCAACCCAUAGCCUGCCUUUGAAA
rnacentral:rRNA from 1 species